rnacentral:rRNA from 1 species
GAUGAACGCUGACAGAAUGCUUAACACAUGCAAGUCAACUGUGGCGGACGGGUGAGUAACGCGUAAAGAACUUGCCUCACAGAUAGGGACAACAUUUGGAAACGAAUGCUAAUACCUGAUAAUGUGAGAGAGCUUUGCGUCCCAUUAGCUAGUUGGAGAGGUAACGGCUCACCAAGUCGAUGAUGGGUAGCCGGCCUGAGAGGGUGAUCGGCCACAAGGGGACUGAGACACGGCCCGUAGUCCUACGGGAGCAAGGAGUGGGGAAUAGUGGACAAGUGACCAAAGUCUGAUCCAGCAAUUCUGUGUGCACGAUGAAGUUUUCGGAAUGAAAAGUGCUUUCAGUUGGGAAGCGGUACCAACAGAAGAAGUGACGGCUAAAUACGUGCCAGCAGCCGCGGUAAUAC